rfam:Clostridiales sp. SM4/1 draft genome.
AACAAACCGUUGAGAAAGAGAAGUAAGUCAGAUUGUUGCAUCACAGAGAGCCGCGGACAGGUGGAAGCGCGGUAUGACACAGCCGGCCGAAUGGACUUUUGAGGGCAUUCCAGAUACAGCUUUCGCUGAGGUAGGGAAUGACGGAAACCGCAACCGUUAUCUUCGCGGCAUAUAUGUUGGUAUAUGAAAGAGUGGACUCUAUGUCAAUUUUGGGUGGUACCGCGGAUUUGUUAAUUCGUCCCAGAU